AUACGUAGGAUCCAAGCGUUGUCCGGAUUUACUGGGUAUAAAGGGUGCGUAGGCGGCCUUGUGCGUCAGAGGUGAAAUCUCCGGGCUUAACCCGGAGGGUGCCUUUGAUACGGCAGGGCUUGAGUGCGAGAGAGGAUGAUGGAAUUCCUGGUGUAGCGGUGAAAUGCGUAGAUAUCAGGAGGAACACCGGUGGCGAAGGCGGUCAUCUGGCUCGAAACUGACGCUGAGGCACGAAAGCGUGGGGAUC
rnacentral:rRNA from 1 species